rnacentral:rRNA from 1 species
UACGUAGGGUGCAAGCGUUAAUCGGAAUUACUGGGCGUAAAGCGUGCGCAGGCGGCUAUGCAAGACAGAUGUGAAAUCCCCGGGCUCAACCUGGGAACUGCAUUUGUGACUGCAUGGCUAGAGUACGGCAGAGGGGGAUGGAAUUCCGCGUGUAGCAGUGAAAUGUGUAGAUAUGCGGAGGAACACCGAUGGCGAAGGCAAUCCCCUGGGCCUGCACUGACGCUCAUGCACGAAAGCGUGGGGAGCAAACAGG